UUUCAAUAAAUUGAUGUUAAUUGUUUGUUAUACACAAAUUAAUAAUAAUUAAAUAAUAAACAUUUUAUUUAACACUGAAAAGGAUUUAAUAAUUAAAAGUUUUAAAGUAAUUAUAUGUACCUUUUGCAUAAGGGAUUUUCUAUAAAAGUUAAAAAUUUAAAUUUCUAGAAAUAAAUUGAUCUAAAAAUUAUAUUAAUUUUAUAUUUCAUUAUAAAAAUAUAAAUAAUUUUUAGCGGUGAAAUGCUUUUCAAAAUUUGUGAUAUCUAGUUUUAUUAAAAGAAAUUAUAUAUUAUCCUAUAAUAUUUUUUUAUUAACAAAAUUAUAGGCUAUUAAUCUUGGGAUAAGCUAAGAUAAUUUUUUUUAAAAUUUGCCAAAAAAAAACAAAAAUAAAGAAUAAAAUUGUCUUUAAUAUUGUUAUAAAUAAUUUUUUGAAAUUUGUUUUAAAAUAAUUUAUUUUUUAACGUUAAAUAAAAAAUAUUUUUUAUUUUAAAAAAUGAGAAUAUUAGUAUAAGAUUUUAUAAAAUUUAAAAUAUAAAAUAUAAAAAUAAAAAUUAAUAAUCUAGAAUAAUAAAUUUAAGGAAUUCAACAAAUAUUUUCUCUGACUGUUUAAUAAAAACAACUUAUUUAGUUUAAUAUUAUUAAAUAUAAAUCCUGCUCAAUGAAAAAAUUUUAAAUUGCUGUAGUAUUUUGACUAUACAAAGGUAUUGUAAUAAGGUUUUAAUUGAAUGCUAAAAGAAUGGAGUUACAGAGAAAAAUUUUCUUAAAUUUAAUAAUUAAACUUAUUUUAAUUUGUGAAGAAACAAUUAUAUAAAUUAAAGACAAGAAGACCCUAAGAAUUUAUGAAUUUUUAUUUAUGUUUUAUAAUUAUUGUAUACAUAUUAAUAAUUCUUAGUUGGGGCAACUAAAAAAUAUAUUUAACUUUUUUUAUAUAAAAUGACCCAUUAUUAAUGAUUAUAUGAUAAAAAUACUCUAGGGAUAACAGCGUAAUAAUUUUUGAUAGAUCUUAUAGACAAAAUAGUUUGCGACCUCGAUGUUGGAUUAGGAUACUUCUUUAAUGAAGAUGUUAAAGAAAGAAGUUUGUUCAACUUUUAAAUUCCUACAUGAUCUGAGUUUAGACCGAUGAGAAUCAGGUUGGUUUCUAUCUUAAUUUUAAUUAAAUUUUGGCUAGUACGAAAGGAAUUCCAAAAAUUAAGUUUGUUAAAUUAAUUGAAUUAAUUUUAUUUGCAUCAUUUUUUGGAAUU
rnacentral:rRNA from 1 species